GUUUUUAAAGGAUAAUAGAUCAUACGUUGGUCUUAGGAACCAAAAACUCUUGGUGCAACUCCAAGUAAAAACU
rnacentral:tRNA from 1 species